AAUAUUGGACAAUGGGGGGAACCCUGAUCCAGCCAUGCCGCGUGUGUGCAGAAGGUCUUCGGAUUGUAAAGCACUUUAAGUUGGGAGGAAGGGCAGUAAGUUAAUACCUUGCUGUUUUGACGUUACAGCAAGAAUAAGCACAGGCUAACUUCGUGCCAGCAGCCGCGGUAAUACGAAGGGUGCAAACGUUAAUCGGAAUUACUGGGCGUAAAGCGCGCGUAGGUGGUUCGUUAAGUUGGAAGUGAAAGCCCCGGGCUUAACCUGGGAAUUGCUUUCAAAACUGACGAGCUAGAGUACGGUAGAGGGUAGUGGAAUUUCCUGUGUAGCGGUGAAAUGCGUAGAUAUAGGAAGGAACAUCAGUGGCGAAGGCGACUACCUGGACUGAUACUGACACUGAGGUGCGAAAGCGUGGGGAGCAAACAGG
rnacentral:rRNA from 1 species